CAGGUUUUUCAAUACAGAGUUCACACUGGUUUCAUACGUGAUGAGGAGACAAGCAAACAGUGGAGAACAGCAGUAGAUACAAUGCAGAUAAGCAAGAAAGAAAAAUUAAGGAUGAAAAGAUGGAGCUGUUUCUAAAAAAUCAGAUGGUACACUUGGAAAUAAUACCAUAAAGGCUCAUUAUUUUAAACAACUAUUGAUUACACCCUGGGGAUUUUCACCAAUUCCACUUGAUUCUGCUUUUAAAAUGUUCUUUGGCCUGUUAAUGAUUAAAGAUUUGGAUUUCCCUCUUUACACUAAAUCAUACAUCAUCAUAAAACUAGUGCUCCUGACCCAUCUUCAUUUUAAUAGAGAAACACCUAUUUUAAAAAGCCUGGAAUUCCCUAUUGACAAACAGUGCGGUAACACAUACAAGAUUUAUCCUACUGUGCAACUUUCCCAAGGAGCAUCUGAGAAUUACUAAUGACAUGAGCAUCACUGAACCACUGAAUGAUGUAAGACCAACCACAUUUGUAGACAGAGAAGAGCUGAGGCUCCAC
rnacentral:lncRNA from 1 species